GAGGAAUACAUCGGAAUCUACUCUGUCGUGGGGGAUAACGUAGGGAAACUUACGCUAAUACCGCAUACGACCUACGGGUGAAAGCAGGGGAUCUUCGGACCUUGCGCGAUUGAAUGAGCCGAUGUCGGAUUAGCUAGUUGGCGGGGUAAAGGCCCACCAAGGCGACGAUCCGUAGCUGGUCUGAGAGGAUGAUCAGCCACACUGGAACUGAGACACGGUCCAGACUCCUACGGGAGGCAGCAGUGGGGAAUAUUGGACAAUGGGCGCAAGCCUGAUCCAGCCAUACCGCGUGGGUGAAGAAGGCCUUCGGGUUGUAAAGCCCUUUUGUUGGGAAAGAAAUCCAGCUGGCUAAUACCCGGUUGGGAUGACGGUACCCAAAGAAUAAGCACCGGCUAACUUCGUGCCAGCAGCCGCGGUAAUACGAAGGGUGCAAGCGUUACUCGGAAUUACUGGGCGUAAAGCGUGCGUAGGUGGUCGUUUAAGUCCGUUGUGAAAGCCCUGGGCUCAACCUGGGAACUGCAGUGGAUACUGGGCGACUAGAGUGUGG
rnacentral:rRNA from 1 species